AUGAAAAACACAAGAAUAACCGCGAUGGACCGUCAGUCGGAGUGGAUCACUCUGCGGCGCGUGCACGCGUUCCUCAAGUCGAGGGGCCUCAAGGCGACGGCCUACGAGCUGGAGCAGGAGGCACGGCUCAAGUUCGACUACCCCCGCGUGCGCGGCCGAUGGCGGGCGGCGGACGUCUACGUGUCGUCGUUCCUGGGAGACAACCUCACGCCUGAGGCAUCCGACACGCUGUUCGUCAUAAGGUUCGAGCGCUUCGUCCGCGCGCUCAAGAGGGGCGACAGGGCGUGGGCGGCGCGGUAUUACGACCGCAGCGUGAGGCCCGUGCUGGCGAACCACCCUUACAAGACCACGGUGAUCACCGACUGCCUCAGUGCUCUGCUCGCGAGCGCUAGAUCGCUCCGCCGGAACCACCCGGACAACGCCUGGUACAGGGAACGAUGCGUUAUCAAGUUCAUGUGCCGCAUCCACUGCAACAAGCAGCUCCACCUUUGCAUCUCCCAGAUGCAGAGGCCGGGGGUCAUCCUCCUUUUUUAA
rnacentral:rRNA from 1 species